rnacentral:lncRNA from 1 species
AUGUUCCAUCUCUCUUCCUUGCAAAAGUGACUCCAGCACCCCAAGGGGACACACGAUGUCUGAUAAAACCACUGUCUUACAAUUCAGUGAUCUGUUUCCUCAACUCCUCCAUCUCAACACGGCUCAUGCGGUAAGGAGCAACUGAAAUAGGCUGGGUGCCUGGCUGUAGAUCUAUAGUGAACUCGACUUUCCUAUCCACUGGCAGUCCGGGUAGUUCAUCCGGAAACACAUCUGGAAAGUCUCAAACUACCAGAAUCUCUUAAAUACAAUUCUUUUUCUUGGGUUUGCCUAGUUAGAGAAAAUAGCAAGGUUAAGAUACUCGAAAAAUAAGAAAACUUGCCAUCAAGGAAUAAG